rnacentral:rRNA from 1 species
UACAGAGGUCCCAAGCGUUGUUCGGAUUCAUUGGGCGUAAAGGGUGCGUAGGCGGCGCGGUAAGUCGGGUGUGAAAUCUCGGGGCUUAACUCCGAAACUGCAUUCGAUACUGCCGUGCUUGAGGACUGGAGAGGAGACUGGAAUUUACGGUGUAGCGGUGAAAUGCGUAGAUAUCGGAAGGAACAUCAGUGGCGAAGGCGACUUCCUGGACCAAUACUGACGCUCAGGUGCGAAAGCGUGGGGAGCAAACAGG